rnacentral:lncRNA from 1 species
CAGGUAGUCAAGAGAUGAUGGUGUCUCUAACUACAACACUGGCCUCAGAACCUUAGGAUUCAGGUAGAGUUCAUGGUUCCCCUAAUAAUACUAGUCACCAUGGGAUUUUUUGAGGUGCGUAUAGAAGAUGUAUCCCUAACCACUACUGCUGCCAUAUGGUUUUGCAAGCUCCUAUCAAGAGAUAAUGGUGAAACUCAUAUUGGUCAUUUUUGUAGGAAUUUCAUGGAAUCUAGCUAAGUGAUUAUGUGGACCUUAAACACAGUACAGACCAUCUGCUCUUCAGACAUCGAGGUUUCAGUCUAAAGAUCAAGGUAACCCUAACAACGGGGAUUAACAUGGAGCUUUGCUGGUAUCCAGGCAAGUGAUGAUGUGGGUCUUAUCACACGGUAGACAUUGUGACCUUCAGAAGUUUACAUAAGUGAUGAUGAUACCUCUAACAUUUGUGUUACCGUGUUUUUAUGGUUUUUUGCAGAUAUUCAGGUAAGAAAUUAUAGUGUUCCCAUAAUUCCUAUUUAAGAAUACACCCUUACUGCUUACUAGUGCAGAGAUAAUGUUUUGAAAUCUGGCUAUGACUGAGGGAUUUGUAAGUUUCCAAGUAAAUUAUCGUACUGUUUCUCAUCUCAGUAUUGACUAUGGUAUUUUUACAGGUACCCAGUCAAGAGAUUAUGACAUAUCCAUGGUUUUGACCUGGAUAUUCUGCAAGUAUCAAGGUAAAGUUGAUGGUUCUCCUACUGCUAGUGAUUCUCAUGAGAUGUGUCAUGGUCUAAAUAGAAAAAGACGUAUCUCUAACCAUGGGCUGCCUUUAUGGGUUUUUAGGUGCUGUCAGUGGAUGGUGGUGAAACUAACAAUGAUAGUGAACAUGGACUUAGCUAAAAGAGAGGGAAAAGAUGGUGUGAGCCUUUACACUUUGGAGAGCUUCAGGUUUCAGUUAUCUCGGAUUCUGUCAGGAGAUUAUGGUGAGCCCAACAGUGGUAGUUGA